CCUACGGGAGGCAGCAGUAGGGAAUCUUUCACAAUGGGCGAAAGCCUGAUGGAGCAACGCCGCGUGCAGGAUGAAGGCCUUCGGGUUGUAAACUGCUUUUAUAAGCGAGAAAUAUGAUGGUAACUUAUGAAUAAGGAUCGGCUAACUACGUGCCAGCAGCCGCGGUCAUACGUAGGAUCCGAGCAUUAUCCGGGGUGACUGGGUGUAAAGAGUUGCGUAGGUGGCAUAAUAAGUAGCUAGUGAAAUCGGGUGGCUCAACCAUUCAGACUAUUAGCUAAACUGUUUAGCUCGAGACCGUUAGGGGUAACUGGAAUUUCUAGUGUAGGAGUGAAAUCCGUAGAUAUUAGAAAGAACACCGAUAGCGUAGGCAGGUUACUGGGACGGUUCUGACACUAAGGCACGAAAGCGUAGGGAGCAAACGGGAUUAGAUACCCUGGUAGUC
rnacentral:rRNA from 1 species